UGAGCAACCUGCCCUUGACACUGGAAUAACAGUUGGAAACAGCUGCUAAUACCGGAUAUGACCUCUGACGACAUCGUCUGGAGGUGGAAAGCUCCGGCGGUCAAGGAUGGGCUCGCGGCCUAUCAGCUUGUUGGUGAGGUAACGGCUCACCAAGGCUUCGACGGGUAGCCGGCCUGGAGAGGGCGACCGGCCACACUGGGACUGAGAUACGGCCCAGACUCCGUAGGGAGG
rnacentral:rRNA from 1 species